ACUAGGGCCUGAAAUGAACACCCAGAAAACUGCAGCAGCCCUACAGAAGAAGGAUCUGACCAUUGAAAGAAAAACAAACAGAAAGCAACAACAAUGGCAUCAACAAGAAGCCCCCACAAAACCCCAUCCAAGGAUCAGCAGCCUCAAAGGCCAAAACUAGACAAACUCAUGAAGAUGAGAAAGAAUCAACAACAAUCACAAAAACAUCAA